rnacentral:rRNA from 1 species
GUAUCAGAAGUGCGAAUGCUGACAUAAGUAACGAUAAAGCGGGUGAAAAGCCCGCUCGCCGGAAGACCAAGGGUUCCUGUCCAACGUUAAUCGGGGCAGGGUGAGUCGACCCCUAAGGCGAGGCCGAAAGGCGUAGUCGAUGGGAAACAGGUUAAUAUUCCUGUACUUGGUGUUACUGCGAAGGGGGGACGGAGAAGGCUAUGUUGGCCGGGCGACGGUUGUCCCGGUUUAAGCGUGUAGGCUGGUUUUCCAGGCAAAUCCGGAAAAUCAAGGCUGAGGCGUGAUGACGAGGCACUACGGUGCUGAAGCAACAAAUGCCCUGCUUCCAGGAAAAGCCUCUAAGCAUCAGGUAACAUCAAAUCGUACCCCAAACCGACACAGGUGGUCAGGUAGAGAAUACCAAGGCGCUUGAGAGAACUCGGGUGAAGGAACUAGGCAAAAUGGUGCCGUAACUUCGGGAGAAGGCACGCUGAUAUGUAGGUGAAGUCCCUCGCGGAUGGAGCUGAAAUCAGUCGAAGAUACCAGCUGGCUGCAACUGUUUAUUAAAAACACAGCACUGUGCAAACACGAAAGUGGACGUAUACGGUGUGACGCCUGCCCGGUGCCGGAAGGUUAAUUGAUGGGGUCAGCGCAAGCGAAGCUCUUGAUCGAAGCCCCGGUAAACGGCGGCCGUAACUAUAACGGUCCUAAGGUAGCGAAAUUCCUUGUCGGGUAAGUUCCGACCUGCACGAAUGGCGUAAUGAUGGCCAGGCUGUCUCCACCCGAGACUCAGUGAAAUUGAACUCGCUGUGAAGAUGCAGUGUACCCGCGGCAAGACGGAAAGACCCCGUGAACCUUUACUAUAGCUUGACACUGAACAUUGAGCCUUGAUGUGUAGGAUAGGUGGGAGGCUUUGAAGUGUGGACGCCAGUCUGCAUGGAGCCGACCUUGAAAUACCACCCUUUAAUGUUUGAUGUUCUAACGUGGACCCGUGAUCCGGGUUGCGGACAGUGUCUGGUGGGUAGUUUGACUGGGGCGGUCUCCUCCUAAAGAGUAACGGAGGAGCACGAAGGUUGGCUAAUCCUGGUCGGACAUCAGGAGGUUAGUGCAAUGGCAUAAGCCAGCUUGACUGCGAGCGUGACGGCGCGAGCAGGUGCGAAAGCAGGUCAUAGUGAUCCGGUGGUUCUGAAUGGAAGGGCCAUCGCUCAACGGAUAAAAGGUACUCCGGGGAUAACAGGCUGAUACCGCCCAAGAGUUCAUAUCGACGGCGGUGUUUGGCACCUCGAUGUCGGCUCAUCACAUCCUGGGGCUGAAGUAGGUCCCAAGGGUAUGGCUGUUCGCCAUUUAAAGUGGUACGCGAGCUGGGUUUAGAACGUCGUGAGACAGUUCGGUCCCUAUCUGCCGUGGGCGCUGGAGAACUGAGGGGGGCUGCUCCUAGUACGAGAGGACCGGAGUGGACGCAUCACUGGUGUUCGGGUUGUCAUGCCAAUGGCACUGCCCGGUAGCUAAAUGCGGAAGAGAUAAGUGCUGAAAGCAUCUAAGCACGAAACUUGCCCCGAGAUGAGUUCUCCCUGACCCUUUAAGGGUCCUGAAGGAACGUUGAAGACGACGACGUUGAUAGGCCGGGUGUGUAAGCGCAGCGAUGCGUUGAGCUAACCGGUACUAAUGAACCGUGAGGCUUAACCUU